rnacentral:rRNA from 1 species
AACGCGAAGAACCUUACCUGGCCUUGACAUCUAUCGUGAAAGGUGAUGAAAGUCAUCGACGGCCCGAAAGGGUGCUGGGGAUAGACAGGUGCUGCAUGGUUGUCGUCAGCUCGUGUCGUGAGAUGUUGGCUUAAGUGCCGCAACGAGCGCAACCCCUGUGUUUAGUUACCUGCGCAAGCAGGGUCUCUAAACAGACUGCCUCGCUUUAAACGAGGAGGAAGGUGGGGAUGACGUCAAAUCAGUAUGGCCCUUACGGCCAGGGCUGCACACGUGCUACAAUGCUCGGUACAGAGGGACGCAAGACCGCGAGGUGGAGCAAAUCCCAGAAAACCGAGCCCAGUUCAGAUUGGAGGCUGCAACUCGCCUCCAUGAAGCCGGAAUCGCUAGUAAUGGCGCAUCAGCUACGGCGCCGUGAAUACGUUCCCGGGCCUUGUACACACCGGCUAC